CAUCUUCUAAGAACUGGGAUUAAAAAAAAAAAUAAAUCUAAGAGGCUGGCAGCUGGUCCGGCACACCUACGCAGUGCCAGCGCUCCAUUUCGGCCUCACGAGGCAUUGGCCACGUGAAAAUGUUUUUCCAGCAGAUUUUAGUAGACUUAUAAUCACCUCGGACCACUCAACUUCACACAGAUAAAAUCUCAUACCCAGAGUGGCGCUGUGUGCAGCAUUAGACCUUGUUGCCACAAAAGGAAGUUUUAUUAUGGAAGCAAACAGCCCUAAAAAAAAACCCCAAACCACAAUUCAAACAUCCAGAGAUCAUCACUUAGUGUUGCAUAAUGUCCACUGUCGAAGCCUGUGAUAUUGGUUUGUGUCCCCAGUGACUCACAGCAUCAUUUCAAACCAAUUAGUAUGUCAGGAGCUGUUUUAUGUGAGAUAUCAGCGAUUUUCACCAUCUUUCUUACUUCUUUUCCCUUCCCCACCCACAUAACAAUCUUGUGUGUUUGUUUCACACAAACCCCAUUUUUCUUCAGGUCACUCUGAAGAAGAUGCUGUUUUGACAGCAUCGUGCAUUUUCCCUCUUCCAAAUCCAUGGAAGCCCUGCCUAAGAAAGUGAUAAAUGGCCAGAAAGAGACCCUCACCCUCACUCUAAUUAGAAGCCUUUGCUGUUUAGCAGGGUUUCAAGAGGACAGAAGCCCGAGGCAGCUGGAUGGGAAUACAAACCAUACCAUGCUCCAGCAGCUUUCUCAUAUUCAUCCAGUGACCGAGAUCCAUCUGUUUAUCAUCAGCUGCAAUACAGUCAGAGACAAAGUGCAUUGUUAAUAGGGUGUGUUUGAGAGAAAAGUCAUAAGAAAGUGCCCUAAACUAAGUGAUUUCUGAAAGUAAUGGCUAUGGAGUGCAUACCACACAGUAGCACUGUGCUAAUGGAUAUUUUUCUUCAGUCAUUGCUAUUAACUCUGUGGUAUUGCUGGCAAGAUUCAAAAAUUAAAUAGAAGGGGUGGCAAAGCACCUUCACUAGAUAAGGUAUUCUAGUUCCUAACUAAUUCUAAUUUUGAUUCCUUUUUCUUGUAAGAAAAAUAAGAUUUGCCAUACGUUAUCAGAACAAGAGUUCCUUUUGACCAUAAGCUCGUCCCUGACAGUAACCCUGGACCAUGCAGCAGACAAGAAGGCAAUGGCCACCUAAAAUAAGUAAAUAUGUAUUUUUUUAAUUAACAACAAUGUAAGAGGAUGUCAGAGUUCUUCAUACGAUCACCUGCCUUCAUAGAGCUACUUGGACUUGUAUUGAUUACACAUGGUGCCACUUGGGGAUGGAAUGAAAAGCUGGACACUGGAGAAACAGAAGCACAGUAAUGAGGAGAGGCUAUGAAGCAUGCAAAAUGCAAUUGAAUCAGCAGAAGGCUUUCAGUCAACUCUUCCUGAAGCCUCCAAAACUCAGAAAUAGAGACAUCUUGCAAGCAACACAGACUUUAGUUUAAAGUAAAAGGUUAUAGGGUGGACUUUUUUUUCCUGUUGCCCUUGUUUCAGCUUUCAGAAAUUUAAUGACAUUCUACACUAUCAAAGCAUUCAUUCAUCAUCUUGAUUUCUUGCCCCUCCCAUUGUAAACUCUAUUUUACUACCUUUUGCUCACUUACAUACAGUCACUGUUCUUAGUAGGCUCACAGAAGAUUGUCUGGAGGCAAAUAGACACUCCAGUAACUCAAGCAAGUUAGUUCAUCUGGUGCCUGAGAUUUUAUAUGUAUGCUUGUUUUAUAAAAGUUUGUGCACUUAUUUCAUAAAAGAUAACUAUCAUAAAAAUUAGCAGUUUUCUUUCCUAUACAAAUAAAAUAUGACUUUUCUUGCUAAUACAAGUUGGAAUACCUGAGUUUGGAGUCUGGAUAGAAAUAAAAGCUCAAACUGGAUCUUUUCCAACAGGAUCUAAACCCGGAAGAAUUCCAGUAGUCUCAUGAUACAGUGAGGAGUUAUAUAACACUUGCCCUUGCCAUGUAGUUAUUUCUAAGGAUGAUGUCACACUUAGCUCUUCUGUGGUUCUGUUCUCUGUGUGAGGUGAUCUCUGCAGCAGAUUCAGGCUGCUCUCUGUUAUUGGAAUGGGUGAGCCCACCAAGAGAACCACUUUAUUUCAUGCAUUCAUGAAGUUUAACUAUUGUGCCACCUAAGAUCCUGAAGUCUGCUGUAAAAGAGGCCAUUUAAUUGCUGUUACCUCUCUGCUCAUCCCUGCAGCUUGCGUUUGGUUUAAGCAUUGCUUCCAAGUAGGGCUGUGUAAAUCAAGAGCUGGGGAAUUUAUCCCUUUGCUUGGUAGUUUAUUAUAAUGGUUAUUAAACGUCACUGCUAAAGAUACAUGCCUGUACUCUGAGAUUUCUGGUUUCAAGUUCAGUCUUGUGACUUAUCCUGCUAAAUUACAGAGCCCUUUAGUACAGAUUUCCUCUCCACAAAGGUGUUUAAGUGCUGCAAUCAAGUCGCUCCUCAGCCUUUCUUUGUGAUAAGCUAAAUAGGUUGAAUUCUUGAUCUCUUUCUCUCCAUGCAAAACACAAGCCUUUAAAGAUGUGGCACGGCCAAGAAAGGGGGCUUUAAGCUCUCUCCCAUUGCAACAGUCUUGACACUUUUCCCUUUAGCUUCCACUGGAAUUGCCACCAAAACCACCAUUAAAUGGCAACGCACUUCAGAUUAAAGGAAAUAAUCUCUCAUUUAGUUUGUAUUGCAGACGACUUUGGGAGGAAAAGCACAUUCUGACAGCUGUUUCCAUUUCAUUGUGCUUUUUGUUUUUGAAAAAGAGAAGACCAUUUGUUUUCAAUUUGUCUAUAAAUAAUAGAGGAAAACACAGCUGAGGGGCCCAGUGUGAUUUUUAUAGAACGUUCAUUUUUAGAAAUCUGAUAAGCUUAACCGCAUAUGUUUGAAAUCACAGUAAUAUAAAAUACAGAAAUUUAAAAAAAAAAAAACCUACUUGUCAUGCAAUCGCUUAUUUAUUUUAUCUAGUACUUAAGCAGCAUUUGUCAAACAUUGUGUGUUGGGGGCAACUUUGGACCUAAAUUCUGAACACAUGAAGAAAUAUCUUGCAGGUGGAAUGAACAGAUUGGCACUUAACCUUUAUGAGGUCAGAACUGUGGAGUUUUUUCCCUAGGUUGAGAGUGACCUCACAAGGCAGCAUGACAAUUAAUUAGCUCCUGUUUAUCCCAGUGAGUCACGAAGGCGAUGGACUGCACCUCAAUUUCACUCAAGCUUCGUUGAUACAGGUCACACCUAGCAAGUUAUCAGAGCCAUCAGUGAUAUCUGAUGCUCAGCCCCUCUGCUAGUGUAGAGGUAAAUCGAUUUUCAGCUGCAUGAGGAAGCCUGAUGGUAGCCCAGACACAAAAGCAAACCCCAUAACUAGUUCUCUUAUUUCUUCAGAAAAGCUAUAUAUAUUUAAAAAAAAAAAAAUCAAGGAGAGGGAAACAUAGCUCAAAUGUAAUAACAUGCCUUAGAAUGUUAAGUUCACUCUUCCCACUCCUAGUACUAUAAAAAUUGUUUAUGACCCUAUUUGUCCUCUAUUUUCCUUAAGUAUAAUCACAUCAUGUCACGCCUGUGCCAUUUAACUGAUAUGUCGUGAAGCUUUUGUUAGUAGCACAGCACUGAAGAAUAUUUCUGAUCUGACUUGAACUUUUAACCCAAGUAGGUGAAGCCAUUGGAAAUAGUGUUGUUGGAGAAAGGCUGUUUUCAGCAGGAUCAUAGCGUAUGAAAGCUGCGAAAGCCACUAAUAAAUAGAAAGGUUUUAUUACAGAGGCUCUGGCCACUACCUUGUAAGGUCUCCACAGCAUCAAAAACCCAGCCUGUUUGUAUCAGCACAGUGCCUGGAAGAGAUACAGCAGCCUGGAGAGGCUCCUAAAUCUUCACAGGAGGUUGCACUUCUAAGUGCAACUUCCUAUAUAAGGAAGCAGGCUCUGUGUUAAAGGAAAAGCUAGACUUACGGGAAGAUCUGAGGACAUGAGAACACUUCCUGUGAGCCCAGUUGGAUAGAGCCAUCUGUCCAACAUGGGGAAUACUCCUAAGACCUCAUAGGAAUGACCAGGCAACAAAAAGACAAGUUUGCUAAGGGGCUCGUGGCAGUACAGCAAUCAUCCCUGCCUUCAACCAUGUCAGAUUCCUCUUGUAAGAGUGAUAUGGGGCACCAGGAGUGGUUAUUAGAAGUCUAAUGGGAAGAGAAUGGGACAGGAGCCACUGCCACUACUGCCUACAUAGGAUAAACAUGCUUCAUUUGUCAGUACAGCUCACUUCCUCAGGAAAAGCACUGAAGGUUACGCUCUAAGAGAAUGCCAAUCACCCACCAAAACACUUGCUGUAGGACAUAUGCUUAUACUUCAGGAACAAUAAAGGCAUUGGGACCAAUCUCAAUCAGAUGUUGCGGGAAAGGGAUCCUCUUAGACUGAAAAGGAAGGGAAAUAAUUCAAUUGGCAUGGUGGCCAGUUUUGUCAUCCAGAGUUAACAUCCUGCUGUCAUGCACUAAUUUAAGUGGUUUUACACACUACAGUGCAGUGUAAACCACGGGUGGGAAGCUGUUCAUGAGUCACAGGAACAGGUAGACUCCCCAUGGACUUAAGCUGUUCACAGCAUCCCACAGGUAGUAGGUCCCCAGCCAGGCCAGGAGGUCUAAACCAGGAGCAGGAGAGGGCUGCAGGAAUGCAACAGUAUUACACAAGCUACUAUUGAAUUUUAUUUACUGAAGUUAAUUUUUUUUUCCUAAGAAUCUUCAUUCACCAAGCCUCCUCCACACAUUACAGGGUAUUUUUUUUCAAUUCAUAGGUGGGCGCAAAGUUUAAGGAUUAUAAAUGGGUUGUUUGCUACAGCUCAUGCAGCAAUCUGGCAGCAGAGUUAGGAGCAAGUUUGGCAUUCCCACUCACUUGGCUUUGUGCUUUAAUCAAACUUUAUAUAAGAUCAAGGAGGCCCAGGAACUGGCCGUACUAUCUCUAAUGUCAGGAACUGAUUACAAAGGCACCAGUGGUUCUUGUUCUUGCCAAUACAGCUCCAGUCUGAUAGAAAAUUAUUUGACUGAGGGCUGGUUCAGAAAAGAGCCGUAAACUGAUAAUACCCACAUGACCACAGGAACCAAGAACUUAAUCUGUGAUGGUUAUUUCCCAAACUAAAUAUUUAAAUAAACUAACAUCUAAAAAAUAAUAAAAUUUAAUUAGAGAUAAGCAAGGUUAUAAAAGUUAUUCUCUCGUAGGCUGCAGGAAAUUUUGCUUCCAAAUCCCCUCAGCAUACAAGGGGAUUAAAAAGUCACUGUGUUAGAAAUAGACAUUUUAACCCAAGAGCAGGUUUUCUCUUAAUAUCAAAAAGCAUUUCCUGUAAUGAGAAAUUGUCAACAGACCAAUGUAGUGGCAAAGCAGGGGUAGUUUAUUACAUUUGGAUAUCCUGCCAAUAUAUUUGCACCUGCUUGCAGCCUCCAGGUUGAUUUGCCGCAAGGGAAGACUUAAGUCACUCAUCAUGACGGAUGGAUCUCUUAUCCAAUAAUCCAGGAGGAAUCAUGAACCCAGACACGACUUUAUUCUUGCUUUUUUUCUUUUAAUAUGAAAAAGUCUUACUUUUCUGCUCUAAAAUUUCCAAAUCGCUAUUCCUCUAUUUCAAAAGUAAGCAGUCACCAUUAAUGUCUGCUGCAUCUUUCCUUUAUGUUCUUUAGACGCUCCAGAAACAACAUGUCAAGAAAAAAAAAAAAAAACAUAACAAAGCAUUUUAGUCCCAUAACUGGGGAGUAGAGAUUGCAGCGAACCGCAGCCAGGCAGAGCAUCAGCCCGGCCCUGCAGGCUGCCAGCUCUGUCAUUUGAGCUCAGGGAGGAAGAGGAGGAGCGGAGGCUGCAGCAGGUGCUGUGCUUGAAUUCACAAGCGCAGUGACCCUCCCUAGGAGCAUGGCAGGAAUUUCAAAUGGGAUUAGCCACCCGGACAAGAGAAAGGUCAUACUUGACAUUUCCACUGGAAAUUCUAAUGCAAAUAGACCUCUGAUACUCAUGACAUUUUUUCACACGCAUCUAACAGCCAUACAUAUGUAAAAGGAAAAUGAUAAAAUGUGAUGACUAAUUUAUGUAAAUCUCAUAAAGGCAAUAACACCAAGGGCUGAGCACAUAGAAACAUUAGUCAGGCAAAGGAGCACAUGAUUGUAUUCCUCCUUUUAUUUGCUACCAUUUUAAAUUGGUUUAUUUUGAUAGGGUUGUUAUUUGUUUAGUUUUCAAAGUGCUCAGUGCUGUACAAGGAAUAGGACAUAGAGUCCUUGCUCGUAGUAAGGAGCAUAGUGAUCUCUGGGCUUUAUUUUGAAUGGUUUUGGUUAUUGCAGUGAGGGUGGGAGGUGAUAGAGGCAGAGGGAAGUCAUCUGGGAAGCCAGUGAUUUUUAUAGCCUACCUCAGGCUUGAAUAUUUACACACUGUAAAAUCCUAGCUGAACACCCAAUGAAAGCGUAAAUUUUUGGAAUUAGAUCCCAGCACAAUUCAAGUGGGGUACUCACAACAUGAAGAUUACAUGGAAAAUAGUUUUACAGCAAAGCUUUUCUCACCUCAAGGAGCCUUAACAAGAGCACAGUCACUGUGACAUCGUCUCACACUUACAGCUAUUUCCACGACAUAUCUUGAUAAGCAAGUUUCCUGUCGCAGUUGUCUUCUGUAGUCACCAAAUUAGACAGAAAACAAGUGCUUUGGUUAAUCUACCCAAAUUAAAGAUACCGGUCGGAACGAUACCAGGGCGGGGAGGGGGGAUAUUUAGGUUGUCCUGCUUUUGUUGUUGUUUUACACAGCAGACUACGCUGCUCAGCAAACCAUCAGAGGAGCGCUGUGGUAUCUGCACGUCUUCCAGUACAGGCAGGAAGAUAAGUCAAACCUAAAUAUAAACUGAGUAGAGAAAACCUAAUGCUGUCAGCGUCUUAUUCAAAGUUUUGCUUUCAACACAAUCAAGAGCAGAUUCUACCCCGCUUACCGUCAUCACCAGUUGUAUUUCAAUACGUUUAUUCCUGCACUUUAACAUAAUUUCAAAGGGCAAUGCCUCAUUUUCCCCAGCUAGGGGGUGGGGAAAACAUUUCUUAAACUGCUUAGAGCUUGUUUAUUUUUCUUAAGGCUAAUUACCUGCUCGCAAUGACUCAAUUUUGUUUAUUACGACUUUUAAAAUGACAAGUUCAUCUGCCACCGGAAAGCAGAGAUGCUUUAGUGACAAUGAAAGGCCACAGUCCUGCAAGCACUUAUGCAUAUGCUUCACGUUUUGCAUGUAAAUAGUCCCAUUGACUAAAUCCCAGUUCUUUGAAAGGAAAGAAAAGACUGAAAGGCAAUCAUUGUUUUCCCAGGCAAACAGUGCUGGAGAAGAAAGGAACAAGUUAGGAAUAUAGAAAAUUAACUCAUUUCCCGUCUCCCACCACAUGCACACAUAUCCUGAAACGACUUCAAGUAUCUAAAGUUUCUCCUGUAUGCAACCCAGUUUUUCAGCAUCUUAAUGCUUCAUUAAUUUUCCAAGGCAAUUUAUUUAGGGAGAUUUAAUAUGGCAAAAGAAAAAAGUUUUCAAAGAUUGUUCAGGACAAAACAGUGUGAGCAAUCAAAAACCAGCUCUAAUAUUGUCUCCUGUAAGUAGUAAAAAAAAAAAAAAAAAAUAAAUAAUUCAAACAACUAUCAAGGAAGCAAAAGUGUAUUUAAACCCUGUAGAAUUUAAAUAAGUCAAACCAGUCUUCCCAGUUAGCUCCAUCCCCUUUUCCUCUCUGCAGGAUAAUUGCAUAUUGUAUAUCACUUCAGUUAAAGCCACUCUAGGCUAGAGCUGGCAGGACUGAAUCACAGAAUAGCUUGGGUUGGGAAGGACCUCAGAGACCAUCUAAUUCCACCUCCCCCCUGCCAUGGGCAGGGACACCUUCCACUAGACCAGGGUUCUCAAAGCCCCAUCCAACCUGGCCUUGGACACUUCCAGGGACGGGAGGGAUAUCCACAGCUUCUCUGGGCAACCUGUGCCAGGGCCUCACCACCCUCAUAGGGAAGAAUUUCUUCCUUGUGUCCAAUCUAAACCCACCUUCUUUCAUUUUAAAACCAUUCCCCCUUGUCCUGUCUCGUGUUGUGAGCUGAAAAUGUGCUUGGACCCAGUAGGAACAAGCCAAGGAUAAGCAGCCAAGCCAGAGCAAUUUCGGCCUGAGCACAAGGAAUCUCCCAGGUGCCCUCUCUAACCAAGGAGGAAGAGCAGCUCACAACUUUGAUAAGGAACCCACCCCCCCGCCCCCCAAAGAGGAUGGGGAAGAUCAAGCUUUAGUCCAAGAGAAACCUGUGGAUGAUAACACCCUUGAUUUAAGGGCAUGAAACAACCACUUGAUGUGUUUUAGAGCAUGACUUCCUCUGCGAGCACGUUGUCACAGACGCGACAGGGAGAAGCCAGCUAAGGUAGCCCACAUCAAAGCCCACACUGCUGUGGUUGGCUUGGAGAAGUUUCAGCUGGCUUGCCUGUCUCCGUCCUACAACACCACAGCCACAAGCGUUGACAUACACUUAACCCCCCUGACGUGCGUGUGGCACGGGGUAAGAGCUGCCGUAGGCUGCAGCCCAGCCCACAAGAUGUAGUCAGUGGGCAAAGAGGUGUCACUAUCUGCGGAAAAAAAUCUGAAAACAUGCACAGAAGUUGAAAACAACAUUGCUGACAGUCGUGGGCAUCUUAUUGGCUAACAUCAGCAGAGACAUUAGCAAGUGGAAAUAGCCCUGUUACACAUUCGUGGGUUCCUACACAGGACAAUGAGAACAGAUAUACUACUUUGCCUUAUACUGGGUUAUGUUUUUUCCACUUGAUAAAAAGUUAUGAGUUACUCUGGAGUUUCUUCUGCUAUUACUGACAUCUUUCAAACCUGACUGAGUAACUGCCAUCACUGAACCCACAUGAGAGAUUUGACAAGUGGAAAGAAUUAAAAUAAAUUUGCUGGUAUGAAUUUUCCUAUAGCUGUUCUUCAUCAAUUCUCAUUAAAAAAAGUAUCCUGAACUUGCACAAAUUAGAAACUGUUUAAAAGCAAUUUAGGCUGGAACUACUGCUUUGAGGUUCCUUCCAACCUAAAAUAUUUAAAGAUGUAAAUUCCUUAUAAUAGCAAUAACUUUGGCAUAGGGGAAAAGACAGAGCAGCAGUCAGUACUCUGAAUACAACCAAAAGAUAUGGGUACAGAUCUGGGUUCAAUUAACACAGCUUGUGUUAAUUGAACAGUUCUUGUAGCCUUGAGAGCUACAGGUGACACAACCUCUGCUUCUCAGCUGCCCUGACAAGUCUUCCAAGCAGUGCAACUGAACCUAUACAAAUAUUUCAGUAUUUCUUACUGUCUAAAAAUAACACUUUAAUGGAUAAACUUGGUGUGCAAGGGAAAAUGCAUGGAAUUAAUUAAGAAUCAUAAGCAAACUCUUCCUCACAGAGAAGUCCUAUGACAUCUAACAACGGUGAAACCAACAGGCUCCUGUAGCAGAUUGGUCUGAGAGCAGGUAGGACUCAGGUGGAGGCACCUGCCCCAGCUCCCUGCUGCCACCUUGGCUUGGCAACAUUCCUCACUGGGCCCAGGUUUCCAGCAGCUGCAGCCCAGUCAGACAGGGAACAGAGCUCACAAGCUGCCUUCCUGAUACCGAACGCAUCCAAUCCACACCACAGACAUUCGUGUUAUUUACCAGAUGAAGGGGUGGCCUUGACAGAAUUAAAAAGCUGCUGAUGAAUCGCUGAGUCUAAGAGAGCUAAUACAUAAUUUUUUAAAGGUUACUAUUCAAGGGAGCAGUGUAGUGCCCACUACUAACAAAGGGAUUGUGGUAACCAACAAAAUUGUCCCCUGUAGACAAUUCCUCCAAAACUGGGUAGUGAUAGGAUCCCAAAGAAAACCCCCAUCAGGGUAAAAAAAUAAUAAAAAAAAAUAAAAAAACCUCAAACUGAAAUACAAAGAAUAAAAACCUUGCAGAACAGUGAUCUUUCUCCUUUAACUUCUACAGGACUGGAACCAGAUGUAUUUACUUUUUUAAAAAUUUGUUUAUUUUGCUAGACUGCUGAAGACUAAGCUGUCUUGAAUACAUAUUGAAAACUUAAU